UUGUAGGCUGAAACUCGCCUACAUGAAGCUGGAAUUGCUAGUAAUCACAGGUCAGCAUACUGUGGUGAAUACGUUCCCGGGCCUUGUACACACCGCCCGUCACACCAUGAGAGUUGAGAAUACCCGAAGCCCAUGUCAAAGUGGUCGAAGGUAGGCUUGAUGAUUGGGGUGAAGUCGUAACAAGGUAAC
rnacentral:rRNA from 1 species